rnacentral:sRNA from 1 species
GCUGGGUUUGGUGGAGCACGCCUGUAAUCCCAGCAGCUCUGGAGGCUGAGGCAAGAGGAUCACAAAUUCAAAGCCAGCCUCAGCAGUUCAGCAAGGCCCUAAGCAACUUAGCGAGACCCUGUCUCUA